GUGUAGAGGACUACGUUGCAGCAACUGCCAUGCAGCCUCUAGGAGUUGGAGGCCUCCAUUCUAUAACUGCCAGGAACUGAAUUCCACCAACAACCAGUGAGCCUGGAAAAGAAUCUCGAGCUCAAAUGGGAUCACAGCCCCAGCCAGCACCUUGAUUGCAGCCUGGUCAAACCUUAAGCAGAGGACUCUGCUAAGCCAUGCCUAGACUCCUGACCCACAGAACCUAUGAGAUAAUAAGUGUGGGUUGUUUUAAGCAGCUAAGUUUGUGGUAAUAUGUUAUACAACAAUAGGAAACCGUGAAGAACCAUGGCUCUUCAAAAGGAGGUCUGUGUAAUGCGUUUUGUCAAUAAACUUGAUUCCAUGUCAAGAAGUUGAGAAUCUUGUUUUAGAAUGUGGAACAACCAAGUCACAAGCACAUGCUUUAGUCUUGUUGACUUUGCAACAAAACUUUCAUGAUCAAGGAAGUAGAGAGAAGUUUCUGCCAAGAGCAAGAGGUCCACGUGACCUCUCCUCUUGCAGGCCAUGGUGGAAAGGGGGCUGUGGUUGGUGUAUGUUCCCUUGGACCCCCUCCUGCCUGAGGGGUCUGAAGACACUGGAUUCCUUUGCCUUCCACCAGGUAAAAAGUCCUGCUCAAACUGCCUCAACCGGUCACUAGCAUUCACUCCCUGCAUGAUGAGAUAAGCAUCUCCCUCUCUGCAGCAUCAUCCUGCACCUCCAGGUUCAGGCCUGCUAGAAAUCCCUGCAUGUUUUCAACCUAGCUGAGGAGCCACUUCCUCUGCUGAAGUUAUUCCCCUAGCCCUAAGUCCUGUCACCUUCCUUGUGGCCAGGGUUGCAGCAUGUGAGAGUUAUUGGGUUAGAUCAUGGGUCCCCGAUCCUUGGGCCAUGGAGUGGUCUGUGGCCUGUUAAGAGCCAGGCUGCACAGCAGGAGGUGAGCAGUGGGCAAGUAAGUGAAGCUUCAUCUGUAUUUACAGCUGCUCCCCAUUGCUUGCUUUACCACCAGAGCUCCGCCUCCUGUCAGAUCAGUGGUGGCAUUAGGUUCUCAUAGAAGUGUGAAUCCUAUUGUGAAUGGUGCAUGUGAGGGAUCUAGGUUGUGCACUCCUUAUUAAAAUCUAAUCCCUGAUAUCUGCCACUGUCUCCUCUCACCCCCAGAUGGGACCAUCUACUUGCAGGAAAACAAGCUCAGGGCUCCCAUUGAUUCCACAUUAAGCAACCUGCAUCUGGAAUGUGAGCUGCUGUCUUAGCUGCUACCAAGCUGAUGAUGGGGCAUGGUAAGCAGAAAAUGCAUUUUAGAAGAAAAUGAGUCUCUGAUCUCAGGAUUUGUCUGAUCUCUCACGAUUGGGAUGGCCCAUUCCUAGAGGGGGAGAAGACCUGGAAAACACUGCUAGACCAACUCAAAAUUACAAAGUUUUCCAGAGCUUAUAUGUCUUCUAAGCCAUAUGUCUAUGUCUGCAGGAAUGUAGACAAUUCAGAGGCUUUGUUCCCCAUAAUUUGGAACUUUUCUUCAGAUUUGACCAAGUCGGGUAGAGAUGAUCAAACCUAAUGGGAAAAAGACUGAAACAACAAAAACAGAAACAGGCAAACACAACCAGACCCCCCCCCAAUCGUAAAGAGAUUAACUAAGAUCUGAAUAGGAAACAUUUGUCAUCUAUUGUCCCUAAGGGCAGCCACCAUAAGACUUCCAGAGAACUUUGGUCUCCACAAUCUUUUAUCUUAACCCGAACAUUCCUUUUCUAUCAAUCCCGGGUCUUUAGGCAAACUCAACCAAUUGUCAACCAGAAGAUGUUUAAAUUCACCUAUAGCCUGGAAGCACACCCCACCCUAUCCCGUUUUUGAGUUGUCCCGCCUUUCUGGACCAAACCAAUGUAUUUCCUAAAUGUAUUUGAUUGAUGUCUCAUGCUUCUCUAAAAUGUAUACAACCAAGCCGUGCCCUGACCACCUGGGGCACAUGUUCUCAGGACCUCCUGAGGGCUGUGUCACAGGCCACGGUCACUCGGCUCAGAAUAAAUCUCUUCAAUUAUGUAAGAGUUCAACUCUUUUUGUCGACAUAUGGUAUGGAUUUGUGUGUAUACUUCUUCCCCAG
rnacentral:lncRNA from 10 species